rnacentral:lncRNA from 1 species
AUGCUGGACGGCUUCCCACCUUACAGCUUCCCACCUUACAGCUUCCCACCUUACAGCUUCCCGUCCCACCUUACAGCCCAGGGAGCCACCAAACGACUUGCCCCAGGGGCUGCAAUGUGUCCCCAGGGAAGGUGGCUUCAGGGACAGAGAGGGCACAGCUUCGCCCGUUGCUUCCGUCCCCCCCGGGGGCCCCUUGGGGACAGAUGUGUGACUGCACGGUCACAGCUCCAGCGCCCCUGGGUCUGCACCCCCCAUUCCAGCAUGCCUCUCUGGGAGCAGGCACCAGGGAUGAGGUGGGGAUCGGGUACGAGCGGGUGGGCUGCUGCCCUCAGCAAUCCCACAGAGCCAGGUGAGCGCGUCUGGCCCUGGAUCCUGCCCUCCCGCCCCUCUCUGGUGGGGCCCGAGAGGGCAGGUUGUAGGGUUUGGGGGUCCCAGUGGCACUGCUGGGAACACCAAGUGGUGCCAGCCUCCUGGGCCUCGGCGCUCGGCCACCAGGCUGUCCCCGGGCGCCCACGUGUCCCCCAGCCCUCGGGACACCGAGCGAGGACAGCAGCGGGCAGGGUGCCCCUCUGUCCCCAGGGUGGCAGCGGGAUGCUCUGGGUGCCAGCAGCGCCCGGGCUUUGUGCCUGGGGCUUUGCCGCUGUCACCGGCUGGUCUGCAUCGGGCUGGCAAUAUCGUGCUCGUGUUCGUCGGUGCUCCGUGCACGUCCGCCUCCAGCGUGGGCUCCCUGGGUCCACCCCUGCUGGGGUUCCUGCAGCAGCCUGCGGGCAGCCGGAGGGGCAGGGAUGGUGCUUUCUGUGCCCUGUGCCCAUGCCCCGUGCCCCGUGCCCAUGCCCUGUGCCCAUGUCCCGUGCCUCUGCCUGGUUCCCAUGCCCCCUUCCCAUCCCCAUGCCCUGUCCCCAUGUUCCUGGCCGUGCCCAUUCCCACACUGGUGUCCAUGCCCCAUCCCCAUCCCAUGCCCAUAGUUGUCCCCCCCACCCUCAGCUGCACCGGCCCUGCCCCAGCCCCCUGCCCGUGCUGGCUUGCCAGCCACCAGUUAUCCCAGUGGCGACCAGCAGAGGGGACUGGUGA